UUUCCCAAGGAUCUUGAGAGGCGACGAAUUUGGAUUCAAAAUUGUCGUCGUGGCGAUAAUUUCAACCCGACUAGGAGCUUCUAUUGUUUGUUCAGAACACUUCCUUCCAACUGACUUCGAACGAGAUUUGAAAAGCGAACUACUUGGUCUUUCUAUUAAAAAGAGAUUGUCUAAGACUGCAGUGCCUAAAUUAAAGCUGGAAUCAAAAGAACUAGUGAUAUCAUCUAAGAAAACCGAAAAGGAAGAGACUUCUGUCAGAAAACUGAUAACCAAUAACAGCAAAGGAAUUGAAUACUGGUACUGUGUACUCAGGAAUAUUUAACAUGGGAGCUUGCUGUGCUUAUGGAUGCACAAAUAGGUCUUCCAAAAUGACUCCAGGCGUAACAUUUCACAGGUUUCCUAAAGAGGAAAAGCGAAGAGAAAUUUGGAUUAAGGCCCUCCGACGGAAGGACUGGUAUCCAUCAGUCUAUUCAAGAAUUUGUUCCCGUCAUUUUGAAGAAGAGAUGUUUGAUAGAUCCUUGAAUCGUGUUCUUUUGAAGGAUGAUGCAGUCCCGACUAUCUUUAAAGAAUUUCCAUCUUAUUGUC